GCCUGGGUGGCUCAGUUGGUUGAGCAUCUGACUUCGGCUCAGGUCACGAUCUCACAGUUUGUGGGUUUGAGCCCCACGUCAGGCU
rnacentral:tRNA from 2 species